UAGCGUAGUGGAUCAGCGCAUCAGACUUCGGAUCUGAAGGUUGUGGGUCGAAUUCCAC
rnacentral:tRNA from 1 species